rnacentral:rRNA from 1 species
UACGGAGGGUGCAAACGUUGCUCGGAAUUAUUGGGCGUAAAGGGCGCGUAGGCGGCUGUACAAGUCAAAGGUGAAAUCCCUCGGCUCAACUGAGGAACUGCCUUUGAAACUGUACGGCUUGAGGCCGGGAGGGGGUAGCGGAAUUCCCAGUGUAGCGGUGAAAUGCGUAGAUACUGGGAGGAACACCAGUGGCGAAGGCGGCUACCUGGACCGGUUCUGACGCUGAGGCGCGAAAGCGUGGGUAGCAAACAGG